rnacentral:misc_RNA from 1 species
AACCCUAUUCACAAAAAUCCACCAUUUUCUCUGUGUGCGCAUUUAUCUGUAUACAUUAUUCGGCAUUUGCAGGUCGGAGAAUCUGAUCGGAGCAAGUUGUGAUCGACGAUCGGAGUUGAAAGUUCGUUAUUCAAAGUGUUCUGCGUUAGCUUCCUUUUAUAUUUCACUUUUGUUUUUGCUCCGUAAUUCCGUUUUUCGCUCUUCUCAUUUCUAUUGAAUUUACUUAUAUAGGUAGGUGGAUUAUAUGAAUUUUGCGCUAUUAUAUAGUUUCCUCCAAGUAUUAUUAGACCUGUAAUGACGCCUAUCUACUGAUCUCUAUUUUUCGUCUUAUUCUUCUGAUUUGUCGUUCGUUGCAUUUCAUCCUCUAUGUCGGAAUCUAUGAAAUGUUUGUGCUGGUGAAUUUAUAGGUUUUGUUUGCUUAGAGUGAUUAUAAUGGAUUUGCCUUUGUUUGUAUGUGGAGAGAUACUUUUGAUGGAGUUCGUAGAAUUUGUGUUGUGUUGAUUGUGCUCUCGUCUAGGUUCCAUUUGUUGUGGAAUCUAUAAGAUUUGUGAUUGUUGUGUUAUGGAAAAAAGAAAGAGAAAGCGACUCUGUUGAGAUUAUGUUUCAGUGCCAUGAGAUCAUGAAUAAUUGGUUUGCGUGCUA